GCCUUCAUGGUGUAGUGGUCAAACACACUCGGCGCGUAUUCGAGAGGUCCGUGGUUCGAGUCCCGGACAGGGCA
rnacentral:tRNA from 1 species